rnacentral:lncRNA from 1 species
AUGCCCGGGGGUGAAUUCUGCCCCAAGGCACCAAUUUUUACCAUCUUAUGUGCUGGUAUCAUCGCACAGCUGCUGAGAGGGCAGGAGAUCCUUACUAAACAUGCAUCCAAGGGAAAAAGCAUUCCUGUUCUUCAAGAUGAAUCACUGGCAUUGUGUUUUUGUGGACAAAGUGAUCGCCUGAGCUACUCUGCAACAGCUACAGCACCACAGGUUACGAAGUGGAAAGGGGAACCUGGAUACCUGGAUCAAGAUUUAAAUCAUAAAGAAAUUAGUGCAAAAAAAAAAAAAAAAGCAUCGUCAGAUUCUCAGAAACCAUUACAUGAUGUAUUCUAUUAUUUAGCUUUGUUUAACUGGAGCUGAAGUUUUCACAGACUCAUGCAUAUUCUCUGAAUACAUUGGAAGAAAGAAAUGAAAUACUUAAUGACACAAUAAACAAAUUGCUCUGAGAAGCCUUGAGUUUCA